GUAGGGUCCAAGCGUUAAUCGGAAUUACUGGGCGUAAAGCGUGCGCAGGCGGUUGUGCAAGACCGAUGUGAAAUCCCCGAGCUUAACUUGGGAAUUGCAUUGGUGACUGCACGGCUAGAGUGUGUCAGAGGGGGGUAGAAUUCCACGUGUAGCAGUGAAAUGCGUAGAGAUGUGGAGGAAUACCGAUGGCGAAGGCAGCCCCCUGGGAUAACACUGACGCUCAUGCACGAAAGCGUGGGGGGAGCAAACAGGAUUAGAUACCCUGGUAGUCCACGCCCCUAAACGAUGUCAACUAGUUGUUGGGGAUUCAUUUCCUUAGUAACGUAGCUAACGCGUGAAGUUGACCGCCUGGGAGUACGGUCGCAAGAUUA
rnacentral:rRNA from 1 species